UACGGGGGGGGCAAGCGUUGUUCGGAAUUACUGGGCGUAAAGGGCCAGUAGGCGGCCAACUAAGUCGGAUGUGAAAUCCCCAGGCUUAACCUGGGAACUGCAUCCGAUACUGGAUGGCUUGAAUUCGGGAGAGGGAUGCAGAAUUCCAGGUGUAGCGGUGAAAUGCGUAGAUAUCUGGAGGAACACCGGUGGCGAAGGCGGCAUCCUGGACCAACACUGACGCUGAGGAGCGAAAGCCAGGGGAGCAAACGGGG
rnacentral:rRNA from 1 species